rnacentral:lncRNA from 1 species
CCGUAACAAACCUAGAAUCUCGUCUAAGGACUCGCCGAAAGGGUAGUACAUGCAUUCCUCUUGCUCUAAUUUUCGGAUCUUAGUCCGUGUCCCAUCCCGCCCCGAGCUGUGACAUUUGGUCCGAUCCUGUAUCAAUGCUCAAAACGUGCAUAACCAAUGCGAAACUAAAUACAUGCUCGAAGAUGCAUUAACCCUACCGGUUCUCACUAGUAUGCCAAAUCUUGAAAGAAAAUAAGCAGAUUAUUUGGUUUGAUUCAAAUAAUUUGGGCGCCCACCGUUACCCGACCAAAUCCGAGCCAAACCAUGCGAAGCAACCCCCCGCCACAAAAAAAAGGGGAAAGCUUGAAGAAUCUUGGAAAAUAACCGAUAAAAAUUAAUGUUUAUCCACAUACUUUGAUAUCCUCCGUAAUCAUUCGAAUUCGAAUCGAUCUAAGCUAAACAACAAGAGAAACAGCACCUAAAACAUGAGAAAUAAAGAAACUAGCAAAGAAUCAAAGAUAUUAGAAAGAUAAAUGAAAAUGUCCAUUCUAACCGAAACAACUCCACAAUUCUAACCGAAAGAAUUCCACAUUCCCUGUAAUUAAUCCAAAUACAAACGAGAUAAGCUAAAGAACCAAAGAGUAAACCCUAAAACAAGGAAGGAAUCAAGAAAAAUAAAGAAAAUGCUCCUCGGAAGCGUCAUCAUCGAGCUCAUAGAUCGGACAAGAGAGAAGAAAGAGAAUUCCAAGAAAGACGGGAAAAAAAGAUGGCGAAAGAUAGUGGAUGCACUUAGCAGGAGGCCUCUCCUCCUCUCUCGCUCACUCGUGGCCUCGCUCCCUCUGCCGCGCUUGCAGAUCUCA